UAGUAUCUGAAUUGAGUCCUUUCUAUGGGA
rnacentral:piRNA from 2 species